AGUAGGUAUCUCAGUGGUAGAGUGCAUGCUUUGUGUGUAUGAGGUCCUGGGUUCAAUCCCCAUUCUCAAUUG
rnacentral:tRNA from 1 species